rnacentral:rRNA from 1 species
AUGAACGCUGGCGGCGUGCCUAAUACAUGCAAGUCGAGCGAACAGACGAGGAGCUUGCUCCUCUGACGUUAGCGGCGGACGGGUGAGUAACACGUGGAUAACCUACCUAUAAGACUGGGAUAACUUCGGGAAACCGGAGCUAAUACCGGAUAAUAUAUUGAACCGCAUGGUUCAAUAGUGAAAGACGGUUUUGCUGUCACUUAUAGAUGGAUCCGCGCCGCAUUAGCUAGUUGGUAAGGUAACGGCUUACCAAGGCAACGAUGCGUAGCCGACCUGAGAGGGUGAUCGGCCACACUGGAACUGAGACACGGUCCAGACUCCUACGGGAGGCAGCAGUAGGGAAUCUUCCGCAAUGGGCGAAAGCUUGACGGAGCAACGCCGCGUGAGUGAUGAAGGUCUUCGGAUCGUAAAACUCUGUUAUUAGGGAAGAACAAAUGUGUAAGUAACUAUACACGUCUUGACGGUACCUAAUCAGAAAGCCACGGCUAACUACGUG